rnacentral:rRNA from 1 species
CCUACGGGAGGCAGCAGUGAGGAAUAUUGGUCAAUGGACGAGAGUCUGAACCAGCCAAGUAGCGUGAAGGAUGACUGCCCUAUGGGUUGUAAACUUCUUUUAUAUGGGAAUAAAAUGUUCCACGUGUGGGAUUUUGUAUGUAUCAUAUGAAUACGGAUCGGCGAACUCCGUGCCAGCAGCCGCGGUUAUACGGAGGAGCCGAGCGUUAUCCGGAAUUAUUGGGUUUAAAGGGAGCGUAGGUGGAUUGUUAAGUCAGUUGUGAAAGUUUGCGGCUCAACCGUAAAAUUGCAGUUGAAACUGGCAGUCUUGAGUACAGUAGAGGUGGGCGGAAUUCGUGGUGUAGCGGUGAAAUGCUUAGAUAUCACGAAGAACUCCGAUUGCGAAGGCAGUUCACUGGACUGCAACUGACACUGAGGCUCGAAAGUGUGGGUAUCAAACAGGAUUAGAUACCCCUGUAGUC